AGAAGCUUCCAUUAUCGUAAAAAAAAAUCAGUACCCAUGAAUUUUGAUUCGGAAAGCUCGACAGAAAUCGAUCCCUGCGACGCAACAUGCUGUACAGAAAAUAUGAGAACGCAAGUUACAACCGGAAACUCGCGGUCCGCGCUCAAUUCCGCCCCAUCGAAUCAGCUAAACGUCCAGGCGAAACAGCGAACCUUAGCGGGGUAAAUAUUGACAGUAAACAGCUUCUUGUUACAACAAUUUCCUGAGGGAAAUAAACGAGCUUGAAACAGCAGCCCCCAGCCCUAUUCAAUCGCCACUCGUAAGCAACAAAAACGAGCAUUAAUAUUGAAAUGGACGAAAUUGUUAAACCAUUUACCGCGGCUGCAUUGUUCACUAUAAUUAAUCAUGCGUUAAUCGCUCUCUCAUGGAAUCUGCAAAUAUUCGCUCGGGACAUCCUUUACAAAUUAAAUAUUACCACAGCUCUCAAAUAUCUUCAAACUAAUUAUUCUACCGAACGAAACCAAGCUAUCUACAUAUUUUAUGUAAUAAAAUAAAUUCCACCACUAUGAUUGGAUAUAAUAAUUUACACGAGAAUUUUACAGAGAACCGGUUAAUUUUUCGAAUGAUAACAAUUUAAUAUCACCGAAAUCGUUCCCAGCUGAUUUCCGCGAAUAUAAGAGGAGGAAAUCUUUCAAACCGACAGUUCUCCAGCAGGCAUCAUAUACUUAUUCGUGACACAUAUUUCGCGCCCGUGGGACGCUCGGCUGCAUGCGAAUACUUUUCUCCCGUUUUGAAGGCGCGAAAUCGUUCCCGGUCACGAUUUAUGCGACCGUGCGUGAAACGCGAA